rnacentral:snoRNA from 1 species
ACGCAUAGUUCAGCAGAAAAUCCAUGAAGAACACAAAGCAUAGUCUUUCGCUCCUAGCUGA